rnacentral:rRNA from 1 species
UUCGAGUGGCGGACGGGUGAGUAACGCGUGGGUAACCUGCCUUACACAGGGGGAUAACACCUGGAAACAGGUGCUAAUACCGCAUAAGCGCACAGGGCCGCAUGGCCCGGUGUGAAAAACUCCGGUGGUGUAAGAUGGACCCGCGUCUGAUUAGCUUGUUGGCGAGGUAGGGGCCCACCAAGGCGACGAUCAGUAGCCGGCCUGAGAGGGUGGACGGCCACAUUGGGACUGAGACACGGCCCAAACUCCUACGGAAGGCAGCAG